rnacentral:rRNA from 1 species
GAUGAACGCUGGCGGCGUGCCUAAUACAUGCAAGUCGAGCGAACAGACGAGGAGCUUGCUCCUCUGACGUUAGCGGCGGACGGGUGAGUAACACGUGGAUAACCUACCUAUAAGACUGGGAUAACUUCGGGAAACCGGAGCUAAUACCGGAUAAUAUAUUGAACCGCAUGGUUCAAUAGUGAAAGACGGUUUUGCUGUCACUUGUAGAUGGAUCCGCGCCGCAUUAGCUAGUUGGUAAGGUAACGGCUUACCAAGGCAACGAUGCGUAGCCGACCUGAGAGGGUGAUCGGCCACACUGGAACUGAGACACGGUCCAGACUCCUACGGGAGGCAGCAGUAGGGAAUCUUCCGCAAUGGGCGAAAGCUUGACGGAGCAACGCCGCGUGAGUGAUGAAGGUCUUCGGAUCGUAAAACUCUGCUAUUAGGGAAGAACAAAUGUGUAAGUAACUAUGCACGUCUUGACGGUACCUAAUCAGAAAGCCACGGCUAACUACGUG